GACGAACGCUGGCGGCGUGCUUAACACAUGCAAGUCGAACGAGUGGCGGACGGGUGAGUAAUGUCUGGGAAACUGCCCGAUGGUGGGGGAUAACUACUGGAAACGGUAGCUAAUACCGCAUACCAUCGGAUGUGCCCAGAUGGGAUUAGCUAGUCGGGGGGGUAACGGCUCACCUAGGGGACGAGCCCUAGCUGGUCGUAGAGGAUGACCAGCCACGCUGGAACUGAGACACGGUCCAGACUCCGACGGGAGGCAGCAGUGGGGAAUAUUGCACAAUGGGCUCAAGCCUGAUGCAGCCAUGCCGCGUGUAUGAAGAAGGCCUUCGGGUUGUAAAGUACUUUCAGCGAGGAGGCGUUACUCGCAGAAGAAGCACCGGCUAACUCCGUGCCAGCAGCCGCGGUAAUUC
rnacentral:rRNA from 1 species